rnacentral:rRNA from 1 species
UGGUGGAUUGAUUUGUCUGGUUUAUUCCGAUAACGAACGAGACUCCAACCUACUAAAUAGUGGUCGGAUUUAUUGGUUUGAAUCACUUCUUAGAGGGACAAGCAGUGUUUAGCUGCAUGAGUAGGAGCAAUAACA